UCAGCUGCAAAAGUAUUUAAUAUGAAACCGGCAAAUAAGUAUAUAGGCCGCCUGCAAUGCAAAGUCUGUUCAUGUAUUGUGAUAAUUGAUUUGUCAUGUAAUAAUUGAAAUUUCUAACACACCAGUCAGAAACAUAACCUCAAUUCAGUGAUAUAUGAAUAAAGAGAAAGAAAAUUACAGUGCUGAUAACCCCUACGAAAAUGGAUUUCAAACUAGGGAAAUUUUCUCCAAUAGAGAAGAUAAAUACAAAGUUAGAUAAUAUAUUAGAAAUUAUUAAUCCUUUGUCACCAAAAAAAAACAAGCAAGGCUUGAAAACAUGCG